rnacentral:piRNA from 1 species
UGAGUCUCAUGUAGGGAGCCAGUGUG